AGCAGCCGCGGUAAUUCCAGCUCCAAUAGCGUAUAUUAAAGUUGUUGCAGUUAAAAAGCUCGUAGUUGAAUUUCGGGAUCAAUACGUCGGUCGUGCUUUCGGGUACGUACUGGCGUCAUUGGUUUCUCCUUUCUGACGAACCAUGAUGUCAUUAAUUUGGUGUUAUGGGGAGUUAGGACUGUUACUUUGAAAAAAUUAGAGUGUUUAAAGCAGGCAUUAGCUUGAAUACAUUAGCAUGGAAUAAUGAAAUAGGACGUUCGAUCCUAUUUUGUUGGUUUCUAGGAUCAACGUAAUGAUUAAUAGGGAUAGUUGGGGGCAUUAGUAUUCAAUUGUCAGAGGUGAAAUUCUUGGAUUUAUUGAAGACUAACUACUGCGAAAGCAUUUGCCAAGGAUGUUUUCAUUAAUCAAGAACGAAAGUUAGGGGAUCGAAGACGAUCAGAUACCGUCGUAGUCUUAACCAUAAACUAUGCCGACUAGGGAUCGGAUGAUGUUAAUUUUUUAAUGACUC
rnacentral:rRNA from 1 species